GAGACCUGUGUCCGAAUCACCUACUGCCCGACAUUGCAAGACCAGUCGUCCAUCUCUGGGUCAGGCAUCAUGGCUGACUUUCUGGUUCAGUACGAUGUGGUCAUGGAGGACAUCAUUGGAGACGUGCAGCAUCCUCGUGUUCCUGAAACACUGCCGAAACACCUCCUCCUUGAUGACUCCAGUCCACCAACAAUUCGUUUGUCUGCCCUGGACUAAAAAUGACCUAUGGUUAAACGUUUUCUCAUGCAACAUUCAUUCAUUCAUAUGUUGAAUGAAUAUGUGAACUAGGCCAGUCCUGUACUCAUUGACUCUGACAACUCAGAAGUGAGUCGGACACAGCCACUCAUCUCCCUCUGCCAUCACCCCAUCCUGAAGCACCCAGAUACACAGAGCCUUGUCGGUCAUCAAAUGUUCUAGGUGCUGUGUUUGAGUGUGUCAUGGGUUCUGUCGUGGUGCCAGUGGAGGAGGGUUUCAGGGCCGUCAUCCUAAAGGAGUUGGAAUUUAAGUAAGCAUGGGAAAAAUGAAUGGGAUAUAUCUGCAAGUCGGUCGAGAAGGUGAAGGGAAAGGCAUGCAGUGAGAAGGAACAGCAUUGCAGAGGCACAGAGGUGUGGCUCAGUCUGUUGUGCAGGAGGAAUAAAAGUUAUUCUCCUGCCAGGA
rnacentral:sRNA from 1 species